GCGCGCGCGGGCAGCGCGUGAAACGCCCUUCUGCACGAGACGGAAAAGUACCUUAGACGCGCGGAUGCAGAACCGCGGCGGUAAGAGACGACAAGUGAGCGAAGAGAACAGGCGGACAGAUGAGACGCGCAGGUGGCGAAGGGAGCGUCGAGGAGACGGGAGACACCACGCACGCACGCACGCACGCACGCGCGCGCGCGCACUAUCUCCGAAGGAAAACGGCAACGUUUAACAGCAGCGCAAGAGCUGAGACGGCAAUACUAGCAAAGCUUGAAGCCUUGGAGGGGUUUUACCUCAUCAUCGCCUGCUGGGGACCAGCCUCCAAGGCUCUGAAGCACCUUCAAGACCCCUUAUAAUAUAUUUCAUAUAUUGCACAAAAAUGUUGAAUUCAAAUAGCUUUUUUUUAGACCACAAGGGAGCCGCGUGACCCAGCAGCGUGUGGGGUCCCCUCCCUCCUCUUUCAUGCUACCUCCAGCUUGUAGCUCCCACUCCCUUCCCACACCUCAUCACAAACUGUUUCUCAUCUAGCCACUUAACACCGCUAGCGAAUGAUGCAUGAGAAAAUUUCCGCAUUUAAUAUUUCAAAUAUGGCAAAAUAGCAAAGUUACUGCAGUGAACAUAUCCAUGUACUCCGACGAGCUCUGUUAAAUACAGUAUUGCACGGGCCGCCGUGAUAUUGUAGCUGCACACAUUUAUUCCAAGAAUGUGUCUUUGUACAGUUGAUGUAGUCGUUGUUAGCGUCUUUAACACACACUGUCCUGGAUGAAUGCAACCAGAUUUAAGUGUUAGGGUUGUGUCAUAUGACAGCAAAGGGUCGCUCUUGCACUGAUACUCGAUACUCUAUACUCGUAUUUUGCUGCUGUAUACUGUAUAUAUACUGUAUAUAUUCGUUCCUGUGUGCGGUUUUACUUUCAGAACAUUUCUCCUGUAAAGUUGCCCUUCCUCAGCUCAAAGGAGACUUGGUUACCUUCACGGAGGA